UACGAAGGGGGCUAGCGUUGUUCGGAAUUACUGGGCGUAAAGCGCACGUAGGCGGCUUGUUAAGUCAGGGGUGAAAUCCUGGAGCUCAACUCCAGAACUGCCUUUGAUACUGGCGAGCUUGAGUUCGGGAGAGGUGAGUGGAACUGCGAGUGUAGAGGUGAAAUUCGUAGAUAUUCGCAAGAACACCAGUGGCGAAGGCGGCUCACUGGCCCGAUACUGACGCUGAGGUGCGAAAGCGUGGGGAGCAAACAGG
rnacentral:rRNA from 1 species